UAGGGGGCAAGCGUUAUCCGGAAUUACUGGGCGUAAAGGGAGCGUAGACGGUCAUGUAAGUCUGGAGUGAAAGGCGGGGGCCCAACCCCCGGACUGCUCUGGAAACUAUGAGACUGGAGUGCAGGGGAGGUGAGCGGAAUUCCUAGUGUGGCGGUGAAAUGCGUAGAUAUUAGGAGGAACACCAGUGGCGAAGGCGGCUCACUGGACUGUAACUGACGUUGAGGCUCGAAAGCGUGGGGAGCAAA
rnacentral:rRNA from 1 species